AUGGCGCGCCGCCACCUCCUCCCGCUCCUCUCCCGCACCCCCCACGCCCACGCCCCCACCCCCACCCCCAUCCACCUCCGCAACGCCUUCUGCUCCUCCUCCACCGCCGCCCCGGCCACCAUCGACGCAUCUCCCCCCGCCGCAUCCCCCGCGGACGAUGCAGCGGCGGCCACGACGGAGGCCCCGCGGGAGGAGAAGCCCCUGCACGAGACGAUCCUCCACAUCAUCCGGCGCCGCAAGUGGACCACCCGCAUGGAGAACUCGGUGCGCCUGCUCUGCCCGGCGCUCUCGGCGCCGGUCGUGCACGGCGUGAUCUCCGCCGCGGCCGCCGCCGGCCGCGCCGACCUCGCGCUCCAGUUCUUCCGCUUCGCGUACCGCCGGGCCGGGUUCCGCCCGGAGCUGGCCACCUUCGCGCUGCUCGUCCCGCUCCUCGCCUCCAGGGGCAUGCUCAACCACGCCCGCUGCAUCCUCCUCGACACCAUGCCGUCCUUCUCCGCCUCCCCCGACGAGGCCACCGUCGCCGCGCUCCUCGCCGCCUACGGCAGGGCCGGCAUCCCGCAGGAGGCCGUCAAGCUCUUCCGCCUCAUGCCCGACCUCGGCAUCACCCGCACCGCGCUCUCCUACAACGCCGUGCUCAAGGCCAUCCUCUGCCGCGGCCGCGAGUCCAUGGCCAGGCGGAUCUACAACGCCAUGAUCGCCGACGCCGUCGCCCCGACCCUCUCCACCUACAACACGCUCAUCUGGGGGUUCGGCCUGUGCAACAAGAUGGACUCCGCCGUCAGGGUGUUUGGGGACAUGAAGGCCCACGGGGUGACGCCGGAUGUCACCACCUAUAACACCCUGCUCAAUGCCUGGGUGCGGAAAGGUGAUCUGGAGAGUGCACGCAAGGUGUUUGAUGAAAUGCCAGGAGCUGGGUUUGAACGCAACUCCAUCUCAUACAAUGUCAUGAUCAAGGGAUACGUUGACGCCAACAAGGUCGAGGAGGCAGUGGGGUUGGUCACGGAGAUGGGGGAGAAGGGUCUGAGGUUGAGCGAGAAGACGUUUGCUGCGUUGAUGCCAGGGCUUUGCGAUGAUGAGGGGAAGACUGCGGAAGCCCGCAAGGCAGUGGCCGACAUGGCGGAGCGACGACUCACGCCAAAGGACAAAUCGGUGUUUCUGAGGCUUGUGUCGACAUUGUGCAAAGCUGGGGAUUUGGAUGGGGCAUUUGAGGUGCAUAAGAAGAGCGGGCAGUUCAAGCAUGUCCUGGUGGAUCCGAGGCAGUACGGUGUGUUGAUGGAGAGCUUGUGUGCAGGUGGCAAGUGUGAUGGUGCUGUGGAGGUGCUAGAUGAGCUUCUAGAGAAGGGCACACUACUCAGCCCAAAAAGUCCAGUGCUGGAAGCACCAGCCUAUAAUCCAGUGAUUGAGUAUCUGUGCAACAAUGGGAACACCAACAAGGCUGAAACGUUCUUCAGGCAGCUGAUGAAGAAAGGUGUGGAUGACAAGUCUGCAUUCAACAGUCUUAUCCGCGGGCAUGCAAAGGAAGGUGCGCUAGAGGCUGCAAAGGAGAUUCUUGCCAUUAUGACACGCCGUGGUGUCCCUACCGACCCCCACUCGCACGCACUGCUUAUUGAUAGCUUCCUGAAGAAGAAUGAGCCAGCUGAUGCAAAGACAGCAUUGGACAGCAUGAUGGAACAUGGUCACUUACCAAGGCCAGCUCUGUUCCAGUCUGUCAUGGUGGCACUUUUCAACGAUGGCCGGGUUCAGACCGCAAGCAGGGUCAUGAAGAGUAUGAUCGAGAAGGGGAUUACCGAGAACAUGGAUAUGGCACAUAAGAUCGUGGAGGCUCUCUUCAUGAGGGGUCAUGUGGAGGAGGCGAUUGGUCGCGUCAAUCUGAUGGUGGAAAAUGGCUGUAUGCCUGAUCUGGAUAAGUUACUAGCUGCCCUUUGCGAGAAGGACAAAGUGAUGGAGGCACAAAAGCUGGCUGAUUUUGCGUUGGACCGGGACUUUGAAGUUAGCUUCUCAACCUAUGACAGAGUCCUGGAAGCCCUGUACACUGAGGAGAAGACAUUGCCAGCCUACUCCAUGCUCUGCAAGAUCAAGCACAAAGGAGGCGUUGUAGACCAGAAGGGUUGUGAUGCUUUGAUGGAUAGCUUAAAAGCUGGAGGAUACUCAAAGCAAGCUGACAUUUUGUCUAGGAUCUUGGUGGAGAAUGGAUCAUCAACAUCCAAGAGGGGCAAGAAGUCUGCCAUGGGUGCAUAGGGAGGUUUCUGGGUUCAUGGAGAGGUCCUAUUUUUCCUUUCUGAACUGAAGAAAACAGUGGUUUGUUUGUUUUAUUAAUGCUUGUUGGGCCAUCUGUCAGAUUGGGAUUUUCAUCCUAGGAGACAAGAAGAAUAGGUUGCAGCAGCCCUGUUUUAGCCUGUGCUGGGUGACUGCUCUGCGGCUGGAAAAAGGAAUAAUUUGAGAAGCAAUAUCUGCUCUUGUACAUUCUGUUUGCAAGCACAAGCUAGAUAGUAUUAUGCAUUUGCCAUGAGCAGUGGCGGAAAUACACCGGUGAUGCGUGUUAUCGGCAUGAUGCAUCUCUUGUUCCGCGAUGUGCUUGGAAUAUGUUUUGCAUCUUUGUUUCCAUGCCCAUUUUGAUCUCUCUUUGUUUCUUUCCUCAGUUGCGCGGCUCCACCUGUGCUGAUAACUUGCAGCUUGAAUUCUUGCUGGUUUGAUUGCAUAGCUAGGCUCUUGUGUUUGGUAGCAGAUGCAGGCUGUG